CCUGAAGGGUGGCUCUCCCACAGGCAAUCCCGCCUCCAGGGCAUCGCCCCGCCCCAUUGUCUCCGUCUUGGUAUCGCCCCGCCCCUUCUGCCUUUCCCGGGGGACGCUGGGAUCUCUCUACUAGCUUUGGAAAGUCGCGGCUGUAGCGCCCUUCUAACGUCACCACGCGGCUCUCGUGGCUCCUGUUUCUCAGCCCAUUCCAGGUCACCUCCCCCCCCUCCCCCGUUGCCCUCAUGCCUGGAAACGGAAGUGCGCUCCCGGAAACGGAAGUGAAUGCCGUACUCCGCGUGCAGGCCCGCCUCCUUCCACAUCAACCAGUCUAAGGUUGCUCCCACCAGACUAGGAGGACUGGAGAGUAGGGUUGGGGUCAAAGGGUAGCCUCCUGCAGGUCGCCUCCUCCUGUGGCUUUCCCGGACGUCGCGCUGGGACUUCCUGCCGACACCGCACUUCUUCCCAGACUCCCACCUGCGCCGCUGGGGGCUUGGGUCCAGAUUUCCAGGGUCUUUGAAGAUGUUAGUUCACUGUUUAUUCAUGUGGGUUCCUGUAAAUGUCUGCAGCCAAUCUGGAAGUGGAGCUGUAUUUGGAACUUUUUGAAUCUAAAUCAGUUUGGGAGAAGUGAGUCUUUUCAGAAUUUGACCUUUCAAUGAAUGUCUCAAAUUUGUUUACGUCAUCUUUAAUGUUUUCAAUACUGUCUUCAAAACAAUUUGGUAAGUUUAAAAUUUAUUCUUCCACAAUUUUGGUAAGUUUAAAAUUUAUUCUUCCAUAUGUUAUACCAUUGUUGCUCUUAUAAAUGGUAUUGACUUUUAAAUUUUAUUAUUUCUAUUCCUGAGUAUAAGUUGCAAGUUUAUCUUUAUUAAGAUAGUAAACAUUUUCAUUAAUUUAAAUAUAGAUCCUUUGAAAUUUUCCAUUUAGGUAAUCAUAUUAUAAAUAAUGACAGAUUUACUUCUACCUUUCUGGUCCUUAGGUUUUUAAAUAUCUUUUCCUAGCCUGCCUCACUUAAGAUUCCAGUAAAAUACUAAGUAGUGGAUACCAUUGUCAUCUUCCUGAUUUUAAACUCAUUUUCUAUUUUCCACCAUUCAUUUAUUGUUUACUUUUGCAUUUUUUUAUACAAUGUUUAUCAUAUUUUCAAAGAUUUUUCUCAGUAAUACCUCUUUAUGGCUUUUUCUUUAUCUACUGAGAUUAUCCUAUUUUUUCAAUAAUGCAUUAAAUGCUUUGAACACUGCCUCAUUCAUUCUAGGUGCCUAGUAAUUAUUAGUAUGAGUGAAUGAGUAAUAAGCCUAUUUUAAAAGUGAAUUGUAUUUAUUGAUUUUUCUAAUGUAAAACCAACUUUGCAUUUCUGGAUAAAUUUAAAUGCGAUAUGAUGGUUUCUUUUUAAAAAAUACCCAGUUCCGGCCAGGCGUGAGCCACCGCGUCUGGCCGAGAACGUGUUAUUUUUCUAAAUUCUCCAAGUGUUGUCAUAUUGCGUCAAUAUGGUGCCUCCAGAAACCAAAAAAACCGACCAAGCAUUGUGCUGUUUGUGAUUAGUAGUACAAAUUGCAGCAAUUCUCCUUUCACCUUAGAGGGAAUAUCUUGACAAGCGCCAGACAACUGAACCCCUAGAAACUUCAGGUGGUUAGCCUGAAUGUUUGGGUGUAUUCCCCAACAAACAUUCACGUCUGUCUUACGAAAGAACUCAUAAAGGCAUCAAUAGAGAGGACAAGUUGUGGGAUGUAAAGAUGACCAUACCUGCUGGAUGUUAUUGCAAGCAACAGUAUAACUGAUGUAACGCUGAGAAAAAGUAAGUUGCUCCUGGUUGUCCUUACAGGUUGAGAAAAUGGUAUUUCUAGGUCAGUAGCUCACAUUUGUAGUAAAUUAAUGAACAUUAGUUAUUAGGGGAAAAGUAUGGGCACUAAUAGCACAAUUUGCCAGAAACAUAAAAUGAGUAAACUUAAAUGUACCCAAUUACAGUGCCCCCCAAAAAAGGAGAGUUUUUUUUUUUUUUUUUUCCCUGAGACACGGUCUUGCUGUGGCCCGGGCAGGAAUGCAGUGGCAUGACCUCGGCUCACUGCUACCUCUGCCUCCUGGGCUCAGGUGAUCCUCUCACCUCAGCCUACUGAGUAGCUGGGACUUACAGGUACACAAUACCAUACCUGGCUAACUUUUUUUUGUUUUGUUUUUUGUAGAGAUGGAGUUUCGGCUCAUUGGCUGGGCUUGGUCUUGAACUGGUAAGCUCAAGUGAUCUGCCCGCCUUGGGCUCCCAGACAUGCACCACUGCACCUGGCCUAGAGAGAGAGAUUUUUAAAGAAAACAAUUUGGCUGGGGGCGGUGACUCACACUUGUAAUCCUAGCACUCUGGGAGGCCAACACAGGCAGAUCACUUGAGAUCAGGAGUUCAAAACCAGCCUGGCCAACAUGGCGAAACCCCACCUCUACUAAAAAUACAAAAAAGUAGCUAGGCGUGGUGGCAUUUGCCUGUAAUCCCAGCUACUUGGGAGGAUGAGACACGAGAAUCACUUGAACUCAGAAGGCGGAGGUUGCACUGAGCUGAGAUCACACCACUGCACUCCAGCCUGGGCAACACAGCAAGACCUAAUUAUUCCUUUUUUGGUAGAGAUGGGGUCUCACUGUGUUGCCUCAGCUGAUUUCAAGCUCCUAGACUUAAGUGAUCCUUCUGCCUCAGAAAACACAAUUUUUCAACCAUACUUGAACGAUUCCUAAAACUUGACCAUUUAUUAGAUGUAACAGUUGGGACUGAAAUCAGCUGAAAGAGGAACUUCC
rnacentral:lncRNA from 10 species